UUUUUUUUCUUCCAAAUAUAUCUUUAACAUGUUAUCAUAAUAACAAUAUAGUUUAAUCUUCUAAUAGUGAGUACCUAAACACUCUUCAAGCCUAGCCUUAUAAAAAUGGUAGCAUUGAUGCUGACCUUUGGUUUGAGAGGUCUCAGCUGUUCACUGGUCUCCAAUAUGGCCGGUUGUUUUAAAGACUGUAUCUAGCACAUGAAUCUGCUAUUACUGAUGCCUGUGCAGUGCCUUAGCUUGGCAGUGCAGCUGUGAGAUCCACUGGGAACAAACCUUGCAUAGUGUUCUAGGAAUGGAAGAAGAAAAAUGGCCUGGAGAGGCAGGGGGAGCCUUUGAAGGGGUGGCUGUGCCCUCCCACUGGAACUGUUAGCCAUGGGCAUCCCACUUGGAGCCUGAGAUGCUGGUUAGCAUCAGGACCUACAGGCUCAGGCUGCUAUCAACGCAGUGACCUAUCCUUAAAUGGUGCUCAUAUGGUGGUGUUAUAUGGUGAUACAUUUUAUUGUCAUGUUAGUAAACAGGAAGAUAGUUGAACUAUUUUUAACUUUCAUUUUAUACCACUAUUUAUAAAGAGUCAGCUGCCCCCAAGCUCUCUGAAUAAACAGUUGGACUGAGUGUGCAGUUUUCCAAUGCUUUACAUAAAGAAUGCCUUUGAGAGAAAACUGUGUUACCCAUAUUCUGAAAUGAGCAAAAGUUUUUUUCCACUGAGAACAGGCUACCUGUUUGCACCCAUGUUCCCAGCCCCUACUGCAGCUACAGACUGCAUUGCUCUUUCUUUCUCAAAAUAAAUUACACAGAAGCCCUCCUGUUCCCAAAAGUUGCUUAGGCACUCGCAAUGGAGAAUGACUUCACUGCAGUGUUUAUACUAGGAGAUUCCUUCUCUGAUACUAACAACAUUUUCAUUUAGCUUGAUGGAUGUAGUGCAUUUGCACUAAAACACUACAAAUUUUAUUUUAUUUUUUUUAAAGUAUGCGAGCAACUGUUUUAUACUCUAGGUAAUUCUAUCUGGAGAGUACUCCAUAUAUAAAUUCAUGUUCCAAAAAUGCAUCUGUUUAUUUCUCCAUAGAUAUAGAGAAAAACAGAAGGAAAAUCAGCGCAGAAAAUGUUUGAUGUAGCACUAGGAUCUGUGCCACUGUCCUUUUAUUAACAGGCAAAUUUAAAAGAAACCUGAAAAAGUUAGGGAAAUACUUGUUUCAGAUGAAUACAUUAUUGAUUUGCUUUUCAGUAUCUCCAAUGGCGACCUCCUGGGGCCUGGUAAAGUACAUAUGCUUACAAAAAGAAUUCAGCGCUUUAUGAAACUGCAGCCAUGGUUUAAUAUGGUUUAAGACUUGCACUGUUUCAUAUUAUAUUGCACCAGGAACAGGUGAAUAUUUUUCCUCCCAUUAAAUCAUAAUGGAAAACAGCAUUAGCCUAUUGGAAAUUUCAGCUUCCACCCACUGAUUCUCUGAGUUAAUUACCAGUAUCACUGGUUCCGGCUCAGCAAAACACACCUAUUGAGCAAUAAAUUGCGAGCAGAUGGUCUUAAUAUUAAAUAUAUGUUUAAGUCUUCUUUCUCUUUUGAGUGGUUUUUAGCAUAUAGUUGAUGUUACACUGAAUAGACACAUAUUUAUAUAUGUUUAAAGUUUUACUGUGUUGUGAACUUUUCCCCUACUUGGAUC
rnacentral:lncRNA from 1 species